UGUAUAGAUAACCUGCCCUCUAGAAAGGAAUAACAGAUGGAAACGUCUGCUAAUGCCCUAUAUGCCUUUAAUACAUAAGUAUGCAAGGGAAACGCUUUAGUGCUAGAGGAUGGGUCUGUAUGGUAUCAGCUUGUUGGUGAGGUAAUGGCUCACCAAGGCAAUGACGCCUAACUGGUUUGAGAGGAUGAUCAGUCACACUGGAACUGAGACACGGUCCAGACUCCUACGGGAGGCAGCAGUGGGGAAUAUUGCACAAUGGACGAAAGUCUGAUGCAGCAACGCCGCGUGGAGGAUGACACAUUUCGGUGCGUAAACUCCUUUUAUAUAGGAAGAUAAUGACGGUACUAUAUGAAUAAGCACCGGCUAACUCCGUG
rnacentral:rRNA from 1 species